GAUGAACGCUGACAGAAUGCUUAACACAUGCAAGUCAACUUGAAUUUGGGUUUUUAACUUAGAUUUGGGUGGCGGACGGGUGAGCAACGCGUAAAGAACUUGCCUCACAGCUAGGGACAACAUUUAGAAAUGAAUGCUAAUACCUGAUAUUAUGAUUUUAAGGCAUCUUAGAAUUAUGAAAGCUAUAAGCACUGUGAGAGAGCUUUGCGUCCCAUUAGCUAGUUGGAGAGGUAACAGCUCACCAAGGCAAUGAUGGGUAGCCGGCCUGAGAGGGUGAACGGCCACAAGGGGACUGAGACACGGCCCUUACUCCUACGGGAGGCAGCAGUGGGGAAUAUUGGACAAUGGACCGAGAGUCUGAUCCAGCAAUUCUGUGUGCAUGAUGAAGUUUUUCGGAAUGUAAAGUGCUUUCAGUUGGGAAGAAAAAAAUGACGGUACCAACAGAAGAAGUGACGGCUAAAUACGUGCCAGCAGCCGCGGUAAUACGUAUGUCACGAGCGUUAUCCGGAUUUAUUGGGCGUAAAGCGCGUCUAGGUGGUUAUGUAAGUCUGAUGUGAAAAUGCAGGGCUCAACUCUGUAUUGCGUUGGAAACUGUAUAACUAGAGUACUGGAGAGGUAAGCGGAACUACAAGUGUAGAGGUGAAAUUCGUAGAUAUUUGUAGGAAUGCCGAUGGGGAAGCCAGCUUACUGGACAGAUACUGACGCUAAAGCGCGAAAGCGUGGGUAGCAAACAGG
rnacentral:rRNA from 1 species